rnacentral:rRNA from 1 species
AGUGGCGAACGGGUGAGUAACACGUUGGAUACCUACCUCUAAGUCGAGAAUAAUCCCGCGAAAGCGGGUCUAAUACUCGAUAGUCUCCUUCGGGAGUAAAGCUUUAGUGCUUAGAGAUGGUCCAGCGGCUGAUUAGCUUGUUGGUGGGGUAAAGGCCUACCAAGGCGACGAUCAGUAGCGGGUGUGAGAGCACGACCCGCCUCACGGGGACUGAGACACUGCCCUGACUCCUACGGGAGGCUGCAGUCGAGAAUCUUCCGCAAUGCGCGAAAGCGUGACGGAGCGACACCGCGUGCAGGAUGACGCCCCUCGGGGUGUAAACUGCUUUUAUAGAGGAGAAAGCUUCGGCUGAUGUUACUUUAUGAAUAAGGGUCCGCCAAACUCGUGCCAGCAGCGGCGGUAAUACGAGUGACCCAAGCGUUAUCCGGAUUUAUUGGGCGUAAAGCGUCCGCAGGUGGUUUGUUAAGUCAUUAGUCAAAGCCUCCGGCUCAACCGGAGAACUGCUAAUGAAACUGACAAACUAGAGGCAGGGAGAGGCAGGUGGAAUGGUAGGUGUAGGGGUAAAAUCCGUUAAUAUCUACUGGAACACCAAAGGCGAAGGCAAUCUGCUGGAACUGACCUGACACUCAUGGACGAAAGCGUGGGGAGCGAAUGGGGUUAGAUACCCCAGUAGUCCACGCCGUAAACGAUGGAUACUAGACAUUGGUAGUCUCGACCCUAUCAGUGUCGUUUUACUCAAGCUAACGCAUUAAGUAUCCCGCCUGAGGAGUAC